rnacentral:rRNA from 1 species
GAUGAACGCUGGCGGCGUGCCUAAUACAUGCAAGUCGAGCGAACGGACGAGAAGCUUGCUUCUCUGAUGUUAGCGGCGGACGGGUGAGUAACACGUGGAUAACCUACCUAUAAGACUGGGAUAACUUCGGGAAACCGGAGCUAAUACCGGAUGAUAUUUUGAACCGCAUGGUUCAAAAGUGAAAGACGGUCUUGCUGUCACUUAUAGAUGGAUCCGCGCUGCAUUAGCUAGUUGGUAAGGUAACGGCUUACCAAGGCAACGAUGCAUAGCCGACCUGAGAGGGUGAUCGGCCACACUGGAACUGAGACACGGUCCAGACUCCUACGGGAGGCAGCAGUAGGGAAUCUUCCGCAAUGGGCGAAAGCCUGACGGAGCAACGCCGCGUGAGUGAUGAAGGUCUUCGGAUCGGAAAACUCUGUUAUUAGUGAAGAACAUAUGUGGAAGUAACUGUGCACAUCUUGACGGUACCUAAUCAGAAAGCCACGGCUAACUACGGG